rnacentral:rRNA from 1 species
UAGCUAAUCUACCCUGGAACCUGGGAUAGCUGUCCGAAAGGACAGGUAAUACCAGAUGAAAUAACGGUGUCGCAUGGCACUGUUCUCAAAGGGCAACUAUUCUGGGAUGAGGCUAUAUUGUAUCAGCUAGUUGGUGAGGUAAUGGCUCACCAAGGCAAUGACGCAUAGCCGGGCUGAGAGGUCGGCCGGCCACAUCGGAACUGAGACACUGUCCGG